UAUGUGUGUGUGAGUGUGUGUGAUUAGAAAUCAUGUCUGAAAACUGCCACAACCAGUUGUGUAGGCAUAUCAAAAUGACUUUAUACUGUAGAUUUCAAACUUAUUUUUGUUUGUUUUUUUUCCUAAUGUAUGGAAUUAUUGUUAUCAUGAAUUUCCUUGCUCCAUGCCACCUAAAAUAGGUUAUGGAGAAUAGUUUUAAAGGAGGGAGAUUUGUACUAUUUUUUUUCUCCCCUUAGCCAACCAAAGCAGGGUUAAUCAUCUCACACUCCAGGAUAAAUAACAAGUGAAUUGCUAAAACUGUUAAUCUCUGAAAGCAAGAUUCUGUGAACAAAUGAGCCAUGUCUACUUAAGGAACUUAUUAUGUCUUCUCUGGGAUAUAUAGCAGGAGGGAAUGUUUUCAAAAGGCAAUCUGAUGGUUCUCUGGAUAUAAUCAAGCUUGAGAUUCAUGGCUAAUUGGGCUCUAGAUUACCCUUACCUGAGAUGACGAUCAGUGAACAUGUCAUCAUCUAUGCCAUAGCCCUGAUGUUCCAGAUGCUUCGCCUGAUCUUUGUCUUAGCUUUAAAUCAGAAGACAAUCUGUGACAAAUGUUUGGCAUCACCCAGAUAUUUAAGAAUUGUGACUCUCCUUCCGAAGAAGCAGAUGAAGUCAAGGAUUUCUUGGUUGUCCUACAUAUUCUGUCAUUUUUUUCCCAAGGGUCUGCUUAUAUCAGGAUACACUCUAUGAACUACAAAUGUUUGACAUUACCAAGCGAACUCAAUAAAUCAGUGUUUGAUAUAGUGGGAAACAUGAAUUACUUAGGAAAAAACUCCUUAUUUGAUAAAAACUGAUGGAAAAGUAAAAAGCAGUCUGGCAGAAAUUACACUUAGACCAACAUUUUACACCAUAUGCCACAAUAUA